GACGAACGCUGGCGGCGUGCUUAACACAUGCAAGUCGAACGGAAAGGCCCUGCUUUUGUGGGGUGCUCGAGUGGCGAACGGGUGAGUAACACGUGAGUAACCUGCCCUUGACUUUGGGAUAACUUCAGGAAACUGGGGCUAAUACCGGAUAGGAGCUCCUGCUGCAUGGUGGGGGUUGGAAAGUUUCGGCGGUUGGGGAUGGACUCGCGGCCUAUCAGCUUGUUGGUGGGGUAGUGGCUUACCAAGGCUUUGACGGGUAGCCGGCCUGAGAGGGUGACCGGCCACAUUGGGACUGAGAUACGGCCCAGACUCCUACGGGAGGCAGAAGUGGGGAAUAUUGCACAAUGGGCGGAAGCCUGAUGCAGCAACGCCGCGUGCGGGAUGACGGCCUUCGGGUUGUAAACCGCUUGCGCCUGUGACGAAGCGUGAGUGACGGUAAUGGGUAAAGAAGCACCGGCUAACUACGUG
rnacentral:rRNA from 1 species